UACGGCCAUAUGAUAUUGAUACACCGAUUCUCGUACGAUCACCGAAGUUAAGCAACGUCGUGUCUGGUCAGUAAUUAGAUGGGUGACUGCAUCGGAAUACCUGGUGCUAUA